CUCUGAUCUGAUCAGGGCUCAGGCAGAGCGAGCCCUAAGCCUAAGCCCUGUGCAGAAUGUUGAGGAGCUGCAGACUGCUGAGGAGUUGCAGACUGCUGAGUUGCAGACUGCUGAGGAGUUGCAGACUGCUGAGGAGUUGCAGACUGCUGAGGAGUUGCAGACUGCUGAGGAGUUGCAGACUGCUGAGGAGCAGAGCAGAGGGUCAGACACGGGCACAAGACGAAGAAAGAAAACGUCAGAGGCACCAAGGCACCUGCCUGUGAGGAAAAAGACACAGAUAAACUGCUCCUACCACUCUCGUCUAGAGACUUUCCCCAUCAGACGAGUUGUAAAAGAAAGAGUGAGAAAUGGCAAAGAAGAAAUGUUGGUUGACUGGCAGCCCUGUCCAGUAUGGUAUAUAUUCAGCUUUUAUUCAGUGUUGGGAAAAAUAACCUGCCGAGUACAUCACAUGUACAUUACAAAUAUAGCUAACUCCUACCCUAGCCUGAUGAGCACAUCACAUGGCAGGCACAUUACAAUAUAGUCAACUCUUGCUCUAACCCAACGAACACAUAACACAAACAUGAUAAUAUAGUCAGGUCAAGGCCGGAGCCGAAGGCCC
ensembl:lncRNA